rnacentral:rRNA from 1 species
AUUGAACGCUGGCGGCAUGCCUUACACAUGCAAGUCGAACGGCAGCACGGGAGCAAUCCUGGUGGCGAGUGGUGAACGGGUGAGUAAAGUAUCGGAACGUGCCCAGUCGUGGGGGAUAACGUAGCGAAAGUUACGCUAAUACCGCAUACGAUCUAUGGAUGAAAGCGGGGGAUCGCAAGACCUCGCGCGAUUGGAGCGGCCGAUAUCAGAUUAGGUAGUUGGUGGGGUAAAGGCUCACCAAGCCGACGAUCUGUAGCUGGUCUGAGAGGACGAGCAGCCACACUGGGGCUGAGAAACGGCCCAGACUCCUACGGGAGGCAGCAGUGGGGAAUUUUGGACAAUGGGCGAAAGCCUGAUCCAGCCAUGCCGCGUGCAGGAUGAAGGCUUUCGGGUUGUAAACUGCUUUUGUACGGAACGAAAAGGUUUGGCCUAAUAAGCUGAGCUCAUGACGGUACCGUAAGAAUAAGCACCGGCUAACUACGUGCCAGCAGCCGCCGUAA